rnacentral:rRNA from 1 species
UACGUAGGUGGCAAGCGUUGUCCGGAAUUAUUGGGCGUAAAGCGCGCGCAGGCGGUCCUUUAAGUCUGAUGUGAAAGCCCUCGGCUCAACCGAGGAGGGUCAUUGGAAACUGGAGGACUUGAGUACAGAAGAGGAAAGCGGAAUUCCACGUGUAGCGGUGAAAUGCGUAGAGAUGUGGAGGAACACCAGUGGCGAAGGCGGCUUUCUGGUCUGUAACUGACGCUGAGGCGCGAAAGCGUGGGGAGCAAACAGG